AGCGAACGCUGGCGGCAGGCCUAACACAUGCAAGUCGAACGGAUCAUUCGGGAUUAGUGGCGGACGGGUGAGUAACACGUGGGAACGUGCCCUUUGGUUCGGAACAACUCAGGGAAACUUGAGCUAAUACCGGAUGUGCCCUUCGGGGGAAAGAUUUAUCGCCAUUGGAGCGGCCCGCGUCUGAUUAGCUAGUUGGUGAGGUAACGGCCCACCAAGGCGACGAUCAGUAGCUGGUCUGAGAGGAUGAUCAGCCACACUGGGACUGAGACACGGCCCAGACUCCUACGGGAGGCAGCAGUGGGGAAUCUUGCGCAAUGGGCGAAAGCCUGACGCAGCCAUGCCGCGUGAAUGAUGAAGGUCUUAGGAUUGUAAAAUUCUUUCAGCGGGGACGAUAAUGACGGUACCCGCAGAAGAAGCGCCGGCUAACUUCGUG
rnacentral:rRNA from 1 species